ACUCAAAGGAAUUGACGGGACCCGCACAAGCGGUGGAUGAUGUGGAUUAAUUCGAUGCAACGCGAAAAACCUUACCUACCCUUGACAUGCCAGGAACCCUGCUGAGAGGUGGGGGUGCUCGAAAGAGAGCCUGGGCACAGGUGCUGCAUGGCUGUCGUCAGCUCGUGUCGUGAGAUGUUGGGUUAAGUCCCGCAACGAGCGCAACCCUUGUCAUUAGUUGCCAUCAUUUAGUUGGGCACUCUAAUGAGACUGCCGGUGACAAACCGGAGGAAGGUGGGGAUGACGUCAAGUCCUCAUGGCCCUUAUGGGUAGGGCUUCACACGUCAUACAAUGGUCGGUACAGAGGGUUGCCAAGCCGCGAGGUGGAGCCAAUCCCAGAAAGCCGAUCGUAGUCCGGAUCGUAGUCUGCAACUCGACUGCGUGAAGUCGGAAUCGCUAGUAAUCGUGGAUCAGCAUGCCACGGUGAAUACGUUCCCGGGUCUUGUACACACCGCCCGUCACACCAUGGGAGUGGGUUUCACCAGAAGUAGGUAGCCUAACCGCGAGGGGGCGCUUACCACGUGGGAUUCAUGACUGGGGUGAAGUCGUAACA
rnacentral:rRNA from 1 species